rnacentral:rRNA from 1 species
ACUCCUACGGGAGGCAGCAGUGGGGAAUAUUGCACAAUGGGCGCAAGCCUGAUGCAGCCAUGCCGCGUGUGUGAAGAAGGCCUUCGGGUUGUAAAGCACUUUCAGUUGUGAGGAAGGUGGUGUCGUUAAUAGCGGCAUCAUUUGACGUUAGCAACAGAAGAAGCACCGGCUAACUCCGUGCCAGCAGCCGCGGUAAUACGGAGGGUGCGAGCGUUAAUCGGAAUUACUGGGCGUAAAGCGCAUGCAGGUGGUUUGUUAAGUCAGAUGUGAAAGCCCGGGGCGUCAACCUCGGAACUGCAUUUGAAACUGGCAGACUAGAGUACUGUAGAGGGGGGUAGAAUUUCAGGUGUAGCGGUGAAAUGCGUAGAGAUCUGAAGGAAUACCGGUGGCGAAGGCGGCCCCCUGGACAGAUACUGACACUCAGAUGCGAAAGCUGGGGGAGCAAACAGGAUUAGAU